rnacentral:misc_RNA from 1 species
GAUGAAGAACGUAGCGAAAUGCGAUAAGUAAUGUGAAUUGCAGAAUUCAGUGAAUCAUCGAAUCUUUGAACGCACAUUGCGCCCGCCAGUAUUCUGGCGGGCAUGCCUGUCCGAGCGUCAUUUCAACCCUCGAACCCCUCCGGGGGUCGGCGUUGGGGAUCGGCCCUGCCUCUUGGCGGUGGCCGUCUCCGAAAUACAGUGGCGGUCUCGCCGCAGCCUCUCCUGCGCAGUAGUUUGCACACUCGCAUCGGGAGCGCGGCGCGUCCACAGCCGUUAAACACCCAACUUCUGAAAUGUUGACCUCGGAUCAGGUAGGAAUACCCGCUGAACUUAAGCAUAUCAAUAAGCGGAGGA